rnacentral:lncRNA from 1 species
AUUUUCAACUCUUCGGCUCUAGACCACCAGCACUGAGGGUAAUGUAAAUGAUGAUAAAUGAGAGAUAGCUUAUACCCAGUGGCACAAAUAAAUUGCUCAUGAAGGAGAAGAAAAACUCAAGCAGAAUUAUACAAUUUGAAGACAACAAGGAGCACCAAGUAAUGAGUGGAAGGAGUGUGUGAUCAUUGGACGAUGAAAAUUUUUUGGAUAGCAUUGAAGAGUUCAAAAGGUCGUAUGAAGUGUUUUGCCUGAAGCUUCAGUGAAGUAAAAUUGGUUUCUUCUGAGAAUAAGGUUGUUUAGGCCACCAUCCCUGGAACAAAUAUUAUCCCUUCCUGCAAUUCCAUUGUCUGCCGGUGUUACCGGCAGAGCUACUUUGAGUGCUGGGCAGGAGCUGAAGCCACGAUGGGCAGGGGGUUCAUUCUGGGGAGUGGCUGGGAGGGGAGAUUCUUAGACCUCUGAGCCUGCAGCUCUGAGCUCUGAGUUGAAGCUCUGCUCUCCAAAGCAAGGGUGGCUCAGAAGCGCUUUGGGGUCAUCUGUCUUCGCCAGCCUCACCUCACUCUUAUUCUCUGAGGAUGUUUAGGAAGAAAUGAAAAUUAUGUGGCUUAGUCUCAGCAUAGCAAGAACUGUGGGGAAGAUCAUUAACUUUCUAACCUGAUUUCUUCUGUGACUUCAGAGGCUUCCUUAACCUCCAGUUAGAAAUUUUUAUCAGGCAUAUUUGAUUAUUAUGUAUCAAGUAUCUGCCUUGUGCCAUUCGCUGUUUGAGGCAGUUAGAAACAGUGAUGGGCAUGUCAGAUGAAACCCUGCUCUGACGGACCUAAAAUCCUAGUGAGUGAUAAUUAAUAUUUAUACUUUAUCUUUUCACUUAGUGAUUAAUGUUCAAAAGAAAAGCACUCAUAUCAGAAUGAGGUACUUAUUCUUCAAAAAUUAUGAUAGAUUCUCUUUGUAUUUUAAAAAUAUUUUGGUGGUAUAUAAUAGAGUCAGUUUCUUCAACAGAGCUACAAGCUUGAUCCCCUUGUUGGGAAAUAUAUGUUACAAGGGCAACAUUAGAAACCCCCAUGAUCCAGUCACCUCCCACCAGGUCCUUCCCCCAACGUUAGGGAUUACAACUCAACAUGAGAUUUGGGUGGGACACGGAGCCAAACCAUAUCAGUUGUUAACUCAGCUCUCGUGUGCUAUAUCCUUUCCUUCGUGGGAUCCCAUUAAAAACAUUAAAUGAAGAAACAUAACAGCCAAGGGAAAGAUGGAAGGACCCUUCCACGGAAAAAAAAAAUGGAACAAAUAGCUUGAAGGAAAAUGAGAAGGAAAACCUGUUGAAGGAUGACACCGAUCUGGAAGAGGAUGCCCAGAGUGUAAAGAAGGAGAUGGGGAUGGGCAACAGGGCUCCAGAGGGCUACCAGGCUGUGCGUUCACAGGUCGGAGGAGCAGAAAAUGCGUCCAUCGCAACAAGAAGGGGGACUACUGUGAGUGGAAAGCUUGCUCAUGGAGAGGGAGACAUUCACUCCUCUCACUGUCCCCUAUCCCUGCUGUCCCAAGGAGAGAGCACCCCAGUUAUGUGAUUGAGUGUAGUAUUUUUUAAAUGUCAGUACUGGUUUGAUUUUUAACUAAGUAAAAAUGGAAAAUUAAACAAAAAGUACAGGGUAUCUGUCAACUUCCCAGAACAUAUCUUUCGGGUCUUGUGUAAAGAAAUUGAUGUAAUCUGCUUUUCUG